rnacentral:rRNA from 1 species
GACGAACGCUGGCGGCGUGCCUAAUACAUGCAAGUCGAACGCUGAAGCGAGGAGCUUGCUCUUCUUGGAUGAGUUGCGAACGGGUGAGUAACGCGUAGGUAACCUGCCUUGUAGCGGGGGAUAACUAUUGGAAACGAUAGCUAAUACCGCAUAACAAUGGAUGACACAUGUCAUUUAUUUGAAAGGGGCAAUUGCUCCACUACAAGAUGGACCUGCGUUGUAUUAGCUAGUAGGUGAGGUAACGGCUCACCUAGGCGACGAUACAUAGCCGACCUGAGAGGGUGAUCGGCCACACUGGGACUGAGACACGGCCCAGACUCCUACGGGAGGCAGCAGUAGGGAAUCUUCGGCAAUGGGGGCAACCCUGACCGAGCAACGCCGCGUGAGUGAAGAAGGGUUUCGGAUCGUAAAGCUCUGUUGUAAGUCAAGAACGAGUGUGAGAGUGGAAAGUUCACACUGUGACGGUAGCUUACCAGAAAGGGACGGCUAACUACGUG